UACGGAGGGUGCAAGCGUUAAUCGGAAUUACUGGGCGUAAAGCGCACGCAGGCGGUCUGUCAAGUCGGAUGUGAAAUCCCCGGGCUCAACCCGGGAACUGCAUUCGAAACUGGCAGACUAGAGUCUUGUAGAGGGGGGUAGAAUUCCAGGUGUAGCGGUGAAAUGCGUAGAGAUGUGGAGGAAUACCGGUGGCGAAGGCGGCCUUCUGGACAGAUACUGACGCUGAGGUGCGAAAGCGUGGGGAGCAAACAGG
rnacentral:rRNA from 1 species